rnacentral:lncRNA from 1 species
GGAGAGGUGCUCCAGCCCCCUGAGCAUCACCUGGGUUCACUCCAAUAGGUCCACGUCCUUCCUGAGCUGUCCUGUCCUCUGCAGCUUCUCCCGUGGAGCUGAACCAUCACAGAAAGGUGCUUGUGAGCUAAAAAUCAGUGCCAGGAGCUGCCAGUGCUUCUACACCCUGGUCGUGACACGAUAAUUGGCACAGUCGUGGACAUCAGGUUCAUUGCAAUCUCAGCUCUGGAGGGAGCUGGGAAGAGAUCCAUAACACAUCCAUCUGCCUCCACAACAUUUCAGAGAGGAAGAAUUGUCCCUGGCACACAGCAAAGCCUUGCUAUGCAAUCAACUUAAGCCUUGAAGCAUGAAAUUUGAUUUUCUUUACCAUAGAAUCAGUCCAUGAGAUUGCCAUGGAGAAGGCUGGGGAAGAUGUUUGGGCCCUUAUUAAAGCUACAUGGACAUAAAUACUUAUGCAGGAGUACAGCUUGAGGUCUAUGUUUCAUCCCAACAUUACCUGACUGGGAGACCAUCAGGUGGAAGAAAUCCCAGAACCCAAUCCCCCACAGAAGGAUUGUGAAGAAUUCAUGCCUGAAGAGCACUUUGUGGGAAUUGUCUUUUAAGACUGAAUUAUUGAGGUAUGGACAAACCUCUGCUUUCUUUUCACAGCUUUAUGUUGGUAGAAGGUGUAAUAUCCAUCCUGGCUUCCAAAGUUUCUCACCUACUUUCUGCAUUUUGGUGGAGUCUCAGCUGUUACAGCUGAGUGCAAAAGUCUUGUAA